rnacentral:RNase_P_RNA from 1 species
GAAGCAAGCCAGACCGCCGCUGGUGCAAUCUCCGAAAGGAGGCACUGGAGGAAGGUCCGGACUGCACAGGGCGGCGUAGCAGCUAACGGCUGUCCACCGUGAGGUGAGGAUCAGAGCAACAGAGACGAGUCGCUGUUUUCUCGCAAGAGAAGGCAGCGGGUGAAACGGGCAAUCUCUACGCGCAGCAACACCAAAUAGGCCAGCGUUGAUGUGGCUCCGCGGAGCUGGCGGGUAGGUGGCAUCGAGCCGUGCAGUGAUGCACGGCCCAGAGGAAUGGCGGUCACGUUCGGGAAACCGAAUGCACAGAAUCCGGCCUAUCGGCUUGCUUCACAC